CUAGUCCACUCAUGCAUGCCAAAAUAAGCCACUCAGCAAAAUUCACUCUCAUCUCUCCCAGUACUUUGAAAUUGUAAGUAUCAUUUAUGAGCUUAGCUAUUUAAUUUUGAUUAGUUUAGUUGUGAUUGGAUUAUGUGUUUGGUGAAAUUAGAGAUUAAAAUUCUUGGAUCUAUUAUUUGAAUAUUUUUAUGCUUAUCAAGUGUUUGAUAAAAUUCCUAAUAUAAUCUAGUAAAAGAAAAACAUAAAAUAUACAAAUAAAUGAAGGAAAUUGGAAACAAAGUUUAGUUGUUUUUGAGAAACGUUUGCAAAAUUAGGAUAUUAAGAUGAAUUUGCUUUUCAAUUUGGGCAGUGGAUUUAGGAAUUAGGUUUGAUGACAUUAGAUUCCCCCCCCCCCCUCCAACCCAACACCAAAACAACCAAAAAAUUUCUUCAUAAGAACUUUAGAAAAUUGGGAUAUUUCUAUUAUCGUUCACUUUAUCUUGGAAUGUAAUUAAUCAUAUUUUUUUAUUUUUUAAAGAAAAUUUUAGCUAGCAUUAAUAUAAUGAAAAGAGUUAAUAAGUUAUUCAAGUCCAACCAAUAAUUGUAAGUUAGAGUUAUAGAAUAUUUAGGCUAUAAAAUUUUAACUGUAAAAUAUUACAAAGCUUUGAUAUGUUGGUUUGAAGGAUGGUGUUGAAGCUUGGGUUGGUACAAUUUGCUCAAAAUGUUGUUGAAUUUGCUAGGAAACAUUUAUGAAGUGAUUAAAUAAACUAAUAAAGGUCAACAAGCCUUGGUUUUUUUCCCCAAUGUAGUUGUUGUAUGUUUAAUUAAAAUUAAUGUAUUUAUCUUCUUUUAUAUCGGGGUAAUAAAAAGUAUGGAGUCUCUCCCAUAUUACUUUGUUUCAGAAGAUGUAUUAAAGUGGGCAUAAAAGGUUCAAGUAGUUUCCAUACAAAAUCUAAAUGUGUAAGCUAUCUUAUGAGGAUGAUGAUGAUGAUGAUGAUGAUAAUUAUUAUUAUUAUUAUUUACUCAAUCUCUUAUUUCUUUCAACUUCAUAUUUAUUGUAAAUAUUGAUUCAUUGACUACUUAAUAAUUUAAUUUAGUUCAAGUUUGACUCCAACUAUUUGUAGAUUAAUUUAAAGAGUUUUGGAUGCAAAAUUUGUGCAAGUUAAUCGAGGAUGAUUAUGUGCUUGUAAUAUUUUGAUUAUAUUAUUAUUUUGAAGUAAUAUAUGAUCGAAUUUGCGAAAUAGUUUUGGGGAAAUCUUUAAUUUUGUAAAGAUUUAAAAUGAAAGGUACCUUCAAAGUCAUCAUCUACCACAACAUUGACUCAACAAAACGAGGAUCAACAAUUAAAAUCAAGGAAGAAAAUAGCAAAUCUAAGGAAGUUGAAGAAUACAUGAAACAACUAUGGUUUACAUAUCUCUCCUUUUUGUGUAAUGUUACUUUUAUUUUUCUUCUACAAUGUAAUCAUAUUUUUGGACAUGAUUUUUUUUUAUACAUUUUAGAUUUUAGAUUUCUUUGUCAUGAAUUAUAUUUAUGUUAAUAAUAUUUUUCACUUAAAGUUCUU
rnacentral:lncRNA from 1 species